CACCACCGACACCGACGUAACACUCCUUGAAAAAAAUAAUUUGAAUUCUGACCCUGAAUGAUUUACCGCAUUUACUGAAACUUUGACUAGCCCCUCGUUUUGAAUGAAAAUAAAUCUUUCACGCAACACUGCUUCGCUCGGGUGACAUUUUGACAUGUUGAUUUGUUUUGAUGCUGUGUUGAAGCUGAUGCGGAUUUUUUUAUUGAUUCCGUUCGCAAUGGGAAGAACCUGUUUCUUUCCCGGUUGCAGAAGUCGUGACGGAAACUUCAUCUCGUUUCACGCGUUUUCUGUGGACGAGCCGACGUUAGGUAUCUGGAAAGCUUUUUGCGGAAGGGAAAAUGCUACCCACAGGAACUUGCUAUGUAGCGUGCAUUUCGACACUGACUGUUUUCGUGAUCCUUCCCGACCAUCGAAAGGGAAAAAUUACACCGCGAUGUUGGACUGCUCGGACGAAACAUUUUGAAGAUCUGCAGAAAUUUAAUCCUCCUCAAUAAAAUACUCAGCAAAAAACAAUGAAUUGCAAUCAACAAUCGAAAUAUAUUCAAAUACUAAUCAUUAGAAAUAAACCUAAUUGGGAACAUGAAAAUAUUACUUUCUCAAAAUCUUCUAAUUUAUCCCGCAAGUGCGAUUGACAGCUGAAAACGUAAUUUGCGUUAUAUUUUUAUUAGAUUUAAAAUUAAACCAUUUAUUUAAGCUGAUUGGACAAUUGUUUUUAAACGUUCAAUAAAUGAAUUGAAGAACAAAAAUUACACACAGAUGCUACAGGACUAUGCACGUGAAACAAUUGAAUUCUUGAUCAGAACCUUCAUCUCCCAAUCUGCUUACACUCAGACAACGGUUUUUGAUGAGCUCGGAGUCAUUGAUCGUGUCCAAUCAGAAUAUCUUUAGAAGAAAAAUCAUUCACCUUUCUUAAAAAUCACUUUGAUUUAACC